GACAGAGGCCUCAAGCGUUAGGCGGAAUCAUUGGGCGUAAAGGGUGCGUAGGCGGGUCUUUAAGUCAGGGGUGAAAUCCUGGAGCUCAACUCCAGAACUGCCUUUGAUACUGAAGAUCUUGAGUUCGGGAGAGGUGAGUGGGAACUGCGAGUGUAGAGGUGAAAUUCGUAGAUAUUCGCAAGAACACCAGUGGCGAAGGCGGCUCACUGGCCCGAUACUGACGCUGAGGCACGAAAGCGUGGGAGCAAACAGGG
rnacentral:rRNA from 1 species